rnacentral:rRNA from 1 species
AACGAACGCUGGCGGCAUGCCUAACACAUGCAAGUCGAACGAGACCUUCGGGUCUAGUGGCGCACGGGUGCGUAACGCGUGGGAACCUGCCCUUAGGUUCGGAAUAACUCCCCGAAAGGGGUGCUAAUACCGGAUAAUGUCUUCGGACCAAAGAUUUAUCGCCUUUGGAUGGGCCCGCGUUGGAUUAGCUAGUUGGUAGGGUAAAAGCCUACCAAGGCGACGAUCCAUAGCUGGUCUGAGAGGAUGAUCAGCCACACUGGGACUGAGACACGGCCCAGACUCCCACGGGAGGCAGCAGGGCGGAAUAUUGCACAAUGGGCGGAAUCAUGAUGCAGCAACGCCGCGGGCGGGAUGAAGGCCUUCGGGUUGGAAACCGCUUUCGCCUGGGACGAAGCGUGAGUGACGGUAAGGGGUAAAGAAGCACCGGCUAACUACGUG